rnacentral:piRNA from 1 species
UGACUGACCAAGGGCUUAAUCAAAUA